GACUCGAUAUCUGGCGUAAGAUCUACUAACACUUCAUACAUGUCGAGAAUCCUGAGUAAUUUUUCAGGUUGGUGAGUCCCAACCGCGAUCGCUUCCGCAAAAUUUAGAAGCUGCAAGAUUGACGCUUUUGAUGACUCAGCGAAACAGAACGAGGCCAUUGACUCACUUUGACAGAAAAUCUGCUCACACAAAAACUUCUCACUUGCAAGAUAAAUCCGUACGAAGACUUUCAACGCUUUUGUCCAUCGCCUGAUCUUGUUAUUCAAUGCAGCCCAUUCCAUUUUCAACACAUCUUCAAUGCUCGUUUUUUCUACUUCAAGAAUAUAUAAGCAAUCAUCUAAAGCGUCUUUACGGACACUAAUGAACGCUUGAGAACAUUCUUUGUUAUAAUUCGCAUCGAACAUCAAAUUAGCGAUAUUUUUCAGAUCGGGAAUAACAUUAGGAUUGACCAAAUCCAUGAUGUAAACCUCGGACCCUCGGCUUAUACUAUCUCGUUGAAUCGAAUCAUCAACCGAAUCAUCCCCGAAAGAGAAUCUUGAGCUAUCGUCUAACCCUUCGUCUUCAGUAGACCGAAAGGAAAACCGUUCGCGUUCUAAGUUUUGCCUGUUAUGAACAAGCAUAUGUUUGAAUUCCUCCUCGAUUCUCGCCAUUGAUGUCUGAAGAACAUCGUUAGCCUUCCUUAAAAGCUCGUGUUCUUCACUGUUUUUACUUGGAUUCAAACCCUCUAAUCUCUCGAUCAAUCUUCUAACCUCAUCGACCGCCUUCAAAUACUCCUUAGCUUCAUCGGUACCAGAAUCCCAUAUCAUAGAUUGACCAACUUCCAAUGUCAUAACCUUAUCGUAUAUUGAAUCAAUCCGCCCCUUCAUAUCACUCAAUUCCUCAUUCCCAUCUUCUUCGUCUUCUUUACUUUCAUCAAUCUUCGCCAUCGCUGCCAAUCGCGCGCCUAAAUCUUCCAAGAUCCUAACCGCUUCAUUCGAUAACUUCUUGUUAGACUCCAAUUCCCGCAGAAUCAGCCUUGCAGCAGCUAUCAAUUUCUCCUCUUCCACUACCUCCAUCAUGGGGUUACAACUUCCCAUAACAAAAUAUACAAAAUAACCAACAAAUAACGCUCUGAACUCACACAGACAUUUCAACAAACACUUGGUGUGCAAAUAAUAAAACCCAGUACUAGACCUCAACAAAAAGAGGCUGAAAUCAAAGAAUUCCUAAUCUGUUACUGACACAGAAGAAAAAAAAGCAGAUCCCAUAUAAAAAGUUCCAAACUUUAUUAAUUAAUCUAAAGAAACUUCAUCUCCUAGAACGUGAUCAAUAAUUAAGUGAUGACAAAAGUACAAAACUUACACUUAUGGGUGCAUGUGUUAGGUAUCAAGAUGUUUAAUAAGCUGACAAAAAGAAACACAACCAACCAACUAACGGACCCUAAUUGAAGCUUUUAAAAUCAAGAAAAAGGGUAGAUCAGACAACCUGUUCCUCUUUUUUCGGAAGUUUCAAAGUGUGAAGGAGGUCAAGGUUGAAUAUAGAAUGAAUAGGGGCAGCUGGUGGAUGUUGGAUAUGAAGCAUGGGGGUUUGUGCUAACGUGGCAACUGGGUAUUGGUUGUUGGGAAAGUCUGUGGUGGACCAGGGUCAACGUUGACGACCGUGUUAACCGUUACCGUUAUAGUUGGCUUUUGUAUUCUUUUUCUUAACCUCCUGUUGAUUAAAAGUUACAACUUUAGUGAAUACGGUUUUUGGUUAUAGAUUUUCUAAAACUAGUUUUCCAUGUAGUUUUGAUCAAAUUUGUCUUUCCGUCUCUAAUAUAGAUGUUUAUUAAGGGUGAACGGGGCGUUCUCGGGGAGUCCCAUCGGUGAGGCCUUUCCCCGAUCGGGAACACCGCCGCCAUCACCGCGGGGUCCCGAAUCGGGGUGGGUUUUGAUUGUGGGUUCACCGAUUGAUUUUGCGCGUGGAUCGAGAAUUGACCGUUUACCAACGGUCGAAUUU
rnacentral:lncRNA from 1 species